AGUUGGUGAAGUGAUUUGUCUGGUUUAUUCCGUUAACGAACGAGACCCCCACUUUUAAAUAGCUACUUCAAUCGUUUUUGAUUGUUGACUAGCUUCUUAAAGGGACUUUUUGUUACAAACAAAAGGAAGUUGGGGGCAAUAACAGGU
rnacentral:rRNA from 1 species